GUAUUGCUUUGGCAAUACAUAUACUAAAAUUGGUACAAUACAGAGAAGAUGAGCAUGGCCCCUGCGCAAGAAUGACACGCAAAUUUAUGAAGCGUUCCAUUUUUAU